rnacentral:rRNA from 1 species
UAAAGAAUUUCGGUAUGGGAUGGGGAUGCGUUCCAUUAGUUAGUUGGCGGGGUAACGGCCCACCAAGACAACGAUGGAUAGGGGUUCUGAGAGGAAGGUCCCCCACAUUGGAACUGAGACACGGUCCAAACUCCUACGGGAGGCAGCAGUGAGGAAUAUUGGUCAAUGGACGAGAGUCUGAACCAGCCAAGUAGCGUGAAGGGUGACUGCCCUACGGGUUGUAAACUUCUUUUAUAUGGGAAUAAAAUGUUCCACGUGUGGGAUUUUGUAUGUACCAUAUGAAUAAGGAUCGGCUAACUCCGUGCCAGCAGCCGCGGUAAUACGGAGGAUCCGAGCGUUAUCCGGAUUUAUUGGGUUUAAAGGGAGCGUAGGUGGAUUGUUAAGUCAGUUGUGAAAGUUUGCGGCUCAACCGUAAAAUUGCAGUUGAAACUGGCAGUCUUGAGUACAGUAGAGGUGGGCGGAAUUCGUGGUGUAGCGGUGAAAUGCUUAGAUAUCACGAAGAACUCCGAUUGCGAAGGCAGCUCACUGGACUGCAACUGACACUGAGGCUCGAAAGUGUGGGUAUCAAACAGGAUUAGAUACCCUGGUAGUCCACACAGUAAACGAUGAAUACUCGCUGUUUGCGAUAUAUGCAA